AUUGAACGCUGGCGGCAUGCCUUACACAUGCAAGUCGAACGGCAGCACGGGAGCAAUCCUGGUGGCGAGUGGCGAACGGGUGAGUAAUAUAUCGGAACGUGCCCAGUCGUGGGGGAUAACGUAGCGAAAGCUACGCUAAUACCGCAUACGAUCUACGGAUGAAAGCGGGGGAUCGCAAGACCUCGCGCGAUUGGAGCGGCCGUAUCAGAUUAGGUAGUUGGUGAGGUAAAGGCUCACCAAGCCGACGAUCUGUAGCUGGUCUGAGAGGACGACCAGCCACACUGGGACUGAGACACGGCCAGACUCCUACGGGAGGCAGCA
rnacentral:rRNA from 1 species